rnacentral:rRNA from 1 species
GACGAACCGUGCGAACGUUGUUCGGAAUCACUGGGCUUAAAGGGCGCGUAGGCGGGCCGCCGCGUCCGGGGUGAAAUCCUCCCGCUCAACGGGAGAACGGCCUCGGAUACGGGCGGCCUGGAGGCGGGUAGGGGCACGCGGAACUGUGGGUGGAGCGGUGAAAUGCGUUGAGAUCCACAGGAACUCCGGUGGCGAAGGCGGCAUCCUGGACCGACACUGACGCUGAGGCGCGAAAGCCAGGGGAGCAAACGGG